AUGAAUGUUCUUGCUGAUGGCUAUCUUGAAAAAUCUGGCCAGCAGCCCUGGGGUGGAAAACCAUUUAUCACGUUUUCUGAAUAUACAGUUGUGGCUGGUAUCUCUGUUGCUAAAAUUGAUCCUUUAGCACCUUUGGAUAAAGUCUGCCUUCUGGGUUGUGGCAUUUCAACUGGUUAUGGUGCUGCUGUGAACACUGCCAAGGUGGAGCCUGGCUCUACUUGUGCCAUCUUUGGCCUAGGAGGAGUUGGAUUGGUGGCUAUCAUGGUCUGUAAGGUGGCUGAUGCAUCCUGGAUCAUUGGUGUGGACAUCAAUAAAGAUAAAUUUGCAAGGGCCAAGGAGUUUGGAGUCUCUGAAUGUAUUAACCCUCAGGAUUUCCGUACACCCAUCCAGGAAGUGCUCAUUGAAAUGACUGAGCGGGGAGUGGACUAUUCCUUCGAAUGUAUUGGUAACAUGGAAGUCAUGAGAGCAACGUUGCAGGCCUGCCACAAAGGCUGGGGUGCCAGCGUCGUAGUUGGAGUAGCUGCUAGAAAUCGCCACUCACCCAUUUCAGCUGGUAACAGGCCACACGUGGAAAGGCACUGCUUUUGGAGGAUGGAAAAGUGUGGAAAGUGUCCCAAAGUUGGUGUCUAAAAAGAUAAAAGUUGAUGAAUUUGUGACUCAUAAUCGUCUUUUGACAAAAUUAAUGAAGCCUUUGAACUGAUGCAUGCAGGGAAGAGCAUUUGAACUGUUGUAAAGCUUUAAAUUCAACAGAGAAAACAUGUUCAUCCUUGUACCUAAGUCUUUUGGUCCAACUGAAACAGCCAGACAAGCAGGGAGAAGAUUUUCUAAAUUCUCAGCCUCUUAGACCUUCUCUACUACUACUUCUAGAGUAACCUACUCUAGCAAUAGUAUUUUUUGUAUAAUUCAUAAAUCUCUAAUCAAGGACAAGGCUAAUACAGUCAUAAAUCUGUUUUCUGAACUCUCCUUCACAUGAAUAAUUGCCAACUCAUUAAGGAAUAUUCUAACAUAAUAAAAGUAAUUUCUGUGUAAA